UCAGUCCACAUUUUCCUUUCUUCUCUAUUCUCUCACCUGCAGAAACCUCUCCCCGUCUCUCCCCUCUUAUCACUCCUGCAGGUAAAAGCAUCAGCUAGCUAAUCCCCUUCUUCCUUCCUCCAUUUGCCAUUAGCAGUGGAUAUCUUUUCCCUCAAAUCCUCACUCUACUACUCUAGUACUGCUGCUGCUACCACCAUGUUGCUCUCGGCGACCUCAAUGCCCAGGCUACCAGCAAGACCUCCCCUCUUAAUCCUUCUCUCUAUGCUCUCCAACCCACAGCUCCAAGAAGUGGACCCCCCCAUGGCUAGAAUAGGGUCACGCAUGGAGCUCUAGACCCAGACGCCAUGACCAGCGCCCCAUGGAGCUCGACUUCACCGAGCAAUCAUCCCCUAGCUUCUAGGAGGUGAACGUUGAUCAAGAUUAUAUCAAGAAUAAGAACUAUCCUGAGCAGGCAAGUCAUCACCCCAUCCCUUUAGCAUGUUGAUCCGAAUUGCGAAAUUGUUUUGUUUAUAAAUAAAAUUGCAUGCAAGAUGAAUAUCCUACUUGUUAUUAUGCCAUGCCUUUGAUUAUUAUUUCCCUCAUUAUUUCCUUGUACCCAUGAUUACGUAUGAGUCCUUAGUCAAUUAUGACAAAAGCUUAGUAAUGCUAUUUUAGAAUCAUGCAUUCUCAUAUUUAUUAAAUGCUAUAUGCUUGGGCAACUACCUUAGGGAAGGUAGUUGAGAUUCGGCAUGUGGAGAUAUGAGCGCCACAUUGCCAUGAACAUUGGUGACAUGAUUUGUUAAAUGAAAAAAAUGAAACUAAACAACUGUUUUCGACUGGGGCGGCUAGAGGACUUGGGUGGUGUCCGGAAAAGGCUAGUGCCGUCCCUGGUUAGUUAAGGACCGAGCCAUGAAGUUAAGCAUGAAACAACCCCUGUACAACCGUACUUCUCGUGUGGGUAUAGACCUAGCGGAGUAAAUAGCCGAGCGGAGGCGGUACCCAAGCCAUAGUGGUUUUCUUGUUGUGUGUGAGGCAGGGCCUACGGUGGGGCAGCCAUUGGUAGGACCGCAAGGGGCGGGUGCCUACAAUGGUGUCGCCAUCGGUAGGACUGUCAUGUGCAAACCUAAACUUAACUAUAACUUAAUGAAUGUGUGAGUCUUUCCCCCUCGCGAGCGCCAGAACUCCUCUCACUGCUAGAAACCUUGGACGCCUGGAGUGCAUGAGGACUAAAGUUCAUGGAGCGGGUACUGCCAAAGUGAGGUUGUUGAAAGGCUUUGCCGUAGCAAGUCUCAUUCGUUGGGACAUAGGCUUAUGUGAUGGGCAAGUCGCGGAGUACGAGUACGGGUAAAGUGUACAUCCACUGCAGUGUGAGUAAAUCAAUCUAUUCGAAUAGCCAUGCUCGCGGAUAUUGAGCACCGGGAUAUGUAUUACACUUGGCUAGACUCUAAAUUCUUAAAAUGAUGGAUGGGAUAUGCAUGAUGAUUUUGUGCUGGUGGAUCAACUUCUCGAGAGGCGAGAAGUGGUAGACCCCAGAAAACCAUGAUGACCAGUGGCGAGAAGCUAUCCUUGGGAACACAAUAGAUGGUGGACAGAACCAUCGCUGUUUAAUGAAUAAUGGAAUUAAAACUUGAUCAGUUUAUGCUAGGUCUUAGGUUUGUGAAACAAUAUUUGAAAACUCAGCUUUACGCAAAGAAACCAUAGCCACUCCUUGUAUUAUCCUGUACAUUAUUGCAUUUUGUGUGGUGGCUUGUUGAGUACUUUUGUACUCAUUGUUGCUCUAUAUAUAUCUUUUAGCAGAGUGUUGAAGAGAAGCCCUUGUUAGUAUGCUUGCGUACCUAACAAGAUGAUCGGAGUGCGGUUCCAUUCUAGGUCUCGUUCCCCAGUCGAUUGCUUGUGGCAUGUCAACCGGGCCCUUGUAUUAUUUUGUCUUCCGCUGUUGUUCUCUGAUAGUUGUUGGCCUGCCUUGCCCUAAUGUAAGCAUUUAACUCUCUUAGCCUGAAUUCAUUCAUGAUAUGUUGUGAUUUGGCUAUGUAUGUGUGUACCAACUACUGAUCCAGGGAUUGGUACUGAUAAAUACAGAAGAUUUCCGAUUUCCAAAAUUGGAGGUCGACAGACGGCCUAUGCUGCUUCUGGAUUCACCUAGGCACGAGAGGGGCCUACCCGACUUGGCUUAAGGAGGGGGUGAAACCUGAGGUGUGUAGUGCGAUUGGUUAGGGGGAGUUACCAUUUCCCCCUUUGCAGUAUCAUCGUGGUACUUCAAGGCAGAAUUUUUUUGAGAAUUAAUAUUAUUUUUAUGGAAAAUCGCAAAACUAGUGGCCACCUGUGGAAAAUCGCAAAAAUGGGGUCCUGUCGAAUAGGUGCAGUUCGAUAGGCGCCUUAUCGAACGGGUGGACCGCGAUAGAAGAGGGGUAGUUCGACUGGCGCCUUGUCGAACAGGGGCAGUUCGACAGGUAGCAGUCGAAUAGCGUUGGUUCGAUAGGAUCCCUGUCGAACAACUGUUCUUCGACUUGUCCUCAGGCUGAAUUUUUAUUUGUGAAUUUUGUGAAUUUUUUUCUGGAACUUUUCUACAAUUAAUAUUUUUUAAUAAUAUUUUGUGGGAAAUUUUAGUAUUUAUUUUUUGGUUAAAAUAUUUGGAUGAAUGAAUUUAUAUUUUCAUUAUUGUAGUAUAGUGCGCUGCAAAGUUCGAAGCGAAUCUUUUGUACUCCGUCAUUGGAAAGGGUAUGAAAAAAAAGACAAAAAUAGUACUGAUAGUUACUAAGUUAAUAAUAAAUUGUUCACAAAUAGUACGGACACAACAUAAAUGUCUCAAUUUUUAACAGAAAUAGAUAACUCAAGGACGAUCAGUGCCCUUCGCACGCUUGCUAGGUCCCCCCUUCUUCCUACGCCUAACCUGCUCAGUGGGAUAAGUCAAAUUAUCAGGGGGGUGCCUCUCUCUUGCUGCCUGCUGUGGUGUCACAUUGGGAGCCUGAAUGGCCCCCAUCUCCUGCGUCGGCUGUGUCACCUGAGGUGCUGCGUGCCAGUAAUCCAUCCCUAGUUCCCCUUGAGGAGGCUCAGUGGAAAAGAAGUCCUCAACGAAUGCUGUGCGAGGGGAGUAAGUAGGCAUUCCAUGAUACGUCGAUGCCGAACCGUACUCAUCGUCUGUUUGCAUAAGAGGGAGAAACAAAUAAUCGCGUAGUUAGUAAUGAUACAUGCAUAUAAUUUGAAACUAAAGCGUGUUAUUGUUUAAACACAGCUCUCAUGGGCCACACAGGCCUCAUUCUAAUUGGGCCGGGAUAUCACAUAUACCGUACAUCCACAUAUGUUAUUUAUGGGGUAACCUUGGCCUAUUAAGUUGAGUACUUGUCUAACAUUGCAUUAAGGAGACCGAUGCAGUAUAGGUAGUGGCCACGAGUGAACUGUAGGCUAUCUAGAGGAGCUACCCAUGUGUGUGUUGAAUUUUAGGAUGAGUGAACUAGUCCUAAGUGUGUGUUUUCUGUGAGGGGAUGAGUGUACUGUUCCGCCUCACAGCGUGGGUGUCUAAGUUUGUCCAAUACAAUGCUGAAUGCCUCAUGGGAAGAGUUGCUUCGCCACGGUGUCAGGUUCGAUAGGCCAACCGUCCUAACAACACUAAUGUUCUGGACUUAGUAGGGAUUGAAAAUUCAUCGUGCUCAUGCAAGGUCAGACGGUAGUCAAUGUAAAAGCCUUGUUAUAACCUCUAGACCACAUUCACCAUGAAGAGUAUGGCAGUGCCUGGCGAGCACAAAACAAAUUAGAGUGUUCAUAUCAUGUGGAUAUCUGUACAAACUCUGCAAAGCCUAAAACUGUCACAUCUAGAAAUUUAGCCCAAAUUUUCAGACUAUUUUGUGUAUUAAGUCCCUGUCCAGGAAUCAGCUAGGGUACACAAAACAACAAGUAAAUAUACAGAUCCAAAUAUAAAUAAACUGUAAAUACUUACAUAAGAGGCACUUAGUCCUCACACAGAAAAAAAACAGCAACAACGGACAAAGGCGAUCCUAAUGGGGCUUUAGCUCCACUCCAUAGGCAAAACUCAACUGGGGUAUAAGCCUUGGUCCUCUAACUUCGUCUUCAACUCAGAAACACUACACUUUUGAAAAAGGGUGAAUAAUAGCAAGGUUGAGUACAAAUAUUCAGCAAGCCACACCAAUGAUGCAGACAUGCAAGGGGGAACAAAGAGGGGUUUGUGGCUAGUUGCAUAAAGGCGAUUGCAAACAUUUUAUAGUUUAAAAUAGUAAAACGGUUGAUUAAUUAAGGCACUAUUAAAUCUCCACUGAACAACGCUACACCAUGUUGAACAGGCCCAACCAUUCUACCUGAUCUAAACCAAUUCAUUAAGUCAAGUUAAUUAAUAGAAUGUGAUUAAUCACGGUGAAUCUGGUUGAUCGCCCAUAACCGAGGGCACAACUAUUUAAAUAGUUUUACUCUGGCCAGAUGUGCACAAUUGUACCGAGAAGACACAAUUCAACACAUGUUGCCAUGCCUUGAAGGAAUUUUUUUGAGAAUUAAUAUUAUUUUUAUGGAAAAUCGCAAAAUUAGCGGCCAUCUGUUGGAAAUCGCAAAAAUAGGCUCCUAUCGAAUGGGGGAGGAACGACAAGGGGCUUAUCGAACAUCCAGCCUUCGAUUGGGCCCUAUCGAACUGUAGCCAUUUGACAGGACGGCCUAUCGAACCGGGGUUGUUCGACUGGGCCCACCACCCGGUGCCGCGCGGCCUGUCGAAUACGGGGAGUUCGACUGGUCCCGCCGCCGCCCCUGUCGAACAAUGGGCAUUCGACAGGUCCCUUUAUAUCGGCAGCCCGAACCUAGCUUUCUCUAAACCGAUUGAGGAGGACCACAUCGCCAUCGUCACCAUUGCAGUCGCCAGUGCUGUCGCCGUGCGCGCUGGAGGGAGUGAGGGGAGGGUGUGGGCGGCCAGAGACAAGGCCAGGGCGGCGCCGGCCUGGAGGGCAGUGAAGGCAACGGCUUGAAGCGACGACAUUGAGGUAUGGCUGAACAAUAUGACGUGCAGCUGAUCGACAAGGAGAUUGAUAGGAACCAUCGGUCGCGACGACUUAGUAGAGGAACUUUCUGCAAUGUGCUGAAAAUGCGAGGACCGGAUCAAUAUUGGCGUAUUGAUCCUCGUUGGGUUCCAAGGUUGAGAGCAGCUGGCUUGUUGACCUUUGCACGAUUGGUCGAGCCUUCACGCGGCGCUUCUGAGUGCUCUCGUGGAUAGAUGGAGGCUUGAGACCCACACUUUCCACCUCACAGUUGGAGAGAUGGUGCCCACUUUGCAGGAUGUGUCUUAUCUGUUGGGUCUGCCGAUAGCUGGGCCAGCAGUUGGCCCAACAAUGGUACAAGCUGGAUGGGCAGACGACCUUCUGGCCAAUUUUGGUGGUGUGCUGCCUGUUGCACUGGAGGAUCUCAUGGAUGGGCACGGGCCGACAAAAAGUUGGUUGAAUCAGUUUCGACAUGAUGUCUUUCCUGAUGAUCAGGAGGACUGGAUCGUGCGACGGCACUUAGUCGCUUACCUGUUGUGGUUGUUUGGAUGGGUGAUGUUCACAGGAACUCACACUGACUCGGUGGACAAGCACUUCAUCCACUACGCGGAGCAGAUUGCAGAGUUACCUAUCGCAGAGUUUCCACAGUACAGUUGGGGGUCGGCGGUACUUGCGGCCACAUAUGCUGGACUAUGUGAUGCUUGCUUGAGGAACAGCAAGCAAAUUCACUCCCUGGAUGCCCGUUGCUACUCAUGUUGUGGGCGCACGAGCGCUUCGACAUUGGGAGGCCUCAGCUGGACUCGUACGCAAACUACGAAUUGCGAGAGAUGUACAAGUCCGGGGUUGGUGACCUCGACAAUCGUCCCACUAUGGGAUCCUUGUGGACACACUGUGAGCCGAAGUGGGUUAGCGGGACGACGCGUCGUGUGUACACACAGUUCGUAGCUAACUUUGAUCAGCUUACGCCUGACCGUGUGCGGUAGACUCCGUACACUCAACACGAUGUCAAUGAUCGUGCACCGCACGGUCUCGCGGACCUUUGCACGCGGGAUCAAGCACUAUGGAGGACGACUUGUCACCUCGUGCUGGACGUGCACGUCGAGCCACACAAUGUCCAAAGGGUUCUUAAACAGUUGGGCAUGUAUCAGGACUUUUCUCCCAGAGUUGGUCAUGCUUUGGCUGAUAGUCUUCAGAGGUAUUCCCGAAAGGGGCUCGGGCUUUCCUACGAGCUUGUUAUUGUGACCAUGGUUCAGCCGACUGUACAAGAGUGGGAGCACGCAGUUGAUAAUUUGGCGCUUCAGAAACCUCCAGACGAUGGGAGUUACUAUGGGGCCUACCUUCGUUGAUACCGCAGUGUCACACGAUGGAGGUGUUUUCCGCCACAAGGAGAUAGCACCGUCCCCCACCAGGCAGCGAUUACUGACACGUUUGCCCCUCAGCCUCGAUCAGCUUACAACUCAAUGGUAUGUGUUUACUUGUGGAACAUGCGGAAUAUGAGCAACUAGUUCAGUAUUUCUAAUAAAUGUGGAACUAGUUCAAUAUUUUUAAUAAAUGUGCUAGUUAAGUAUUUUUUAUAAAUGUGCAACUUGGUCAAUAUUCGUAAUAA